GCUGGGCGCAGUGGUGCACACCUGUAAUCUCAGUGACUCGGAGGCUGAGGCAGGAGGAUUGCAAGUUGAAAGCCAUCCUCAGUAAUUUAGUGAGACCCUAUCUUAA
rnacentral:sRNA from 1 species